GACGAACGCUGGCGGCGUGCUUAACACAUGCAAGUCGAACGGUAAGGCCCCAGCUUGCUGGGGUACACGAGUGGCGAACGGGUGAGUAACACGUGGGUGACCUGCCCCGCACUUCCGGAUAAGCCUGGGAAACUGGGUCUAAUAUCGGAUAGGACCGCACCGACAGGGUGUGGUGGAAAGUUUUUCGGUGUGGGAUGGGCCCUCGGCCUAUCAGCUUGUUGGUGGGGUAAUGGCGUACGAAGGCGGCGACGGGUAGCCGGCCUGAGAGGGUGGACGGCCACAUUGGGACUGAGACACGGACCAGACUCCUACGGGAGGCAGCAGUGGGGAAUAUUGCACAAUGGGCGGAAGCCUGAUGCAGCGACGCCGCGUGGGGGAUGACGGCCUUCGGGUUGUAAACACCUUUCUCCAUCGACGAAGGUUUUCUGACGGUAGAUGGAGAAGAAGCACUGGCUAACUACGUG
rnacentral:rRNA from 1 species